UACGAAGGGUGCAAGCGUUACUCGGAAUGACUGGGCGUAAAGCGUGCGUAGGUGGUUUGUUAAGUCUGUUGUGAAAGCCCCGGGCUCAACCUGGGAAUGGCGCUCGAAACGGCGGGACUAGAGAUCGGGAGAGGAGCGUGGAAUUCCCAGUGUAGAGGUGAAAUUCGUAGAUAUUGGGAAGAACACCGGUGGCGAAGGCGGCGCUCUGGACCGAGACUGACGCUGAGGCGCGAAAGCGUGGGGAGCAAACAGG
rnacentral:rRNA from 1 species